rnacentral:tRNA from 2 species
GGAGGGCUAGCCUCAACUGGUAAGGCAGUGGACUUGAAAUCCACCGGGCCGCUGAGGCCCUUGGGGGUUCGAAUCCCUCGCCCUCCGCCA